GACGAACGCUGGCGGCGUGCUUAACACAUGCAAGUCGAACGGAAAGGCCCCUUUGGGGGUACUCGAGUGGCGAACGGGUGAGUAACACGUGAGUAACCUGCCCUUGACUUCGGGAUAACUUCAGGAAACUGGGGCUAAUACCGGAUAGGAAUCCUUGCUGCAUGGUGGGGGUUGGAAAGCUUCGGCGGUAUUGGAUGGACUCGCGGCUUAUCAGCUUGUUGGUGGGGUAGUGGCUUACCAAGGCUUUGACGGGUAGCCGGCCUGAGAGGGCGACCGGCCACAUUGGGACUGAGAUACGGCGCAGACUCCUACGGGAGGCAGCAGUGGGGAAUAUUGCACAAUGGGCGGAAGCCUGAUGCAGCAACGCCGCGUGCGGGAUGACGUCCUUCGGGUUGUAAACCGCUUUCAGCAGGGGCGAAGCUUUUGUGACGGUACCUGCAGAAGAAGCACCGGCUAACUACGUG
rnacentral:rRNA from 1 species